GCUCCCCGGGCUGCCCCGCCCAUCGCCUCACGGGCACGCACAUCCCGGCUCUGUCCCCUGGCGGCCCGGCGCCACUUCCCCUGGCCUGGCGCUAGGGCCGAGGAGCCACGGGGAUAAGCGCUGGACACCAAGAACCCCACCCGGGCCGCUUUGUUUUCAUAGCGGAGGAAUCCGGCAGCCCGGACCAAAUGCUGUUUGUUUAACUACGUAUUUGCUCGCUUUGGCAGGCCGGGCACACGCUAUUUAAUCCCGCACAGACAUUGAUGCCGCACCUGGAGACUGCGGUUGGCCAAUACAAGGAAGCAGGGGACUAUGGAAGGCUACUGGGAGCACAUCACACCUGUCCUCUGCUCUCCACACUGGCUCAAAAGCAGCAGAAGCUUGACUUGAAAAGAAUACUGGAUCACAGUCAAGGUUUCCGUCCUUAUCAUCAAGGCACUCCAUGGCCUGAGCCCAGGAUAUCUACAGCACUGCCUAAGGCCCCAGGACAAAAAUCAUGUUUGACAACUACGCUCCUCUCUACAAUAAACAUCAAGCUCCUCUGCAUGGGAGACGUAACUUUCUCUGGAGCCGGGCUGAGACUGUGCAAUGAAUUCCCCCAGAAACGACACAAACCUUAUCACCUUCCACUCCACGUGAAAGACGCAUUUCUUUGACCUGCCCUCUCUAACAGAUACAUAACAGAAUGCACGUUAAAAAGCCACCACCUACGCUCCCUGCCCUCCAGCGGAACACUACCAAAAAAAGACUGGACUCAUUUCUCCCCUCGGGGAGAGGAUCAGAGAAUAACCACCACGUGACAGAUGUUAGUCAUGAUGCUUAAUGCGCUAGCGGAAGGUGCUCAGAUAUGAUGUUGAUAAGAAUGGUAUAAGAACCUAUAUCAUAACAGAAGUAAUGAAAUGGAAAUAAUAUUUAUAUUAGACAAAUACCUGUUUUCAACAUACUGCAUUUAACAGACAAAGCACACAAAGUGUUCAAGUUUGUUGCAGUUGCAGAAAAACAGACAUGCAGAGUUUUAGUAGAUAAUCAAAUAAUAUUGCAUGAAAUAUUUUUGCAUGCAGUGUAUUUGUAGCUCUCUUAGUCCUAGGAUAUUAGAGAGACAAGGUGGGGGAUGUAAUAUCUUUUAUCGGAUCAACUUCUGUUGGUGAGAGAGACAAGCUUUCCAGCCACACAGAGCUCACCCACCUUCUCUCUCCAAUGAAAUGUUUUUGUUCAUGACGUGGAAGAAAAACAAAGAAGAAAUAACCCAUAGAAGUAAUUUAUAUUCUCAAUUUGUAUUUAAUAUUGUAAACUUCUACCCUACUCUCUGAUGACAUUUAAUCAGAAAACCACCACAUCACCUGCAUACUUUUGGGUACAGGAAAAUAUUUUUCUAUAAAAAUAUAUACCUUUGAAGAUCAAAUUACGUUUUGAUUCAUUCAUAUGGAAAUCGUGUUCCAUGGUAAUUUGAUGCUUUGAGGAAUCCGGAUUUACACUGUAAGAACUGAAUAGCAAGAAAGGAGACAACAUUUACUGAUUAAAUAUGUUCACGUACAAACAAUUUGAA